CUACGGGUGGCUCCAGUGAGGAAUUUUGCGCAAUGGGGGUAACCCUGACGCAGCAACGCCGCGUGAGUGAUGAAGGCUUUCGGGUCGUAAAGCUCUGUCACGUGGGAAGAAUAUACGAAAUGCUAAUACCAUUUUGUACUGACGGUACCACUGAAGGAAGCACCGGCUAACUCCGUGCCAGCAGCCGCGGUAAUACGGGGGGUGCAAGCGUUAUUCGGAAUUAUUGGGCGUAAAGAGCACGUAGGCGGCCGCUUAAGUCAGAUGUGAAAGCCCGGGGCUCAACCCCGGAAAUGCAUUUGAACUAAGUGGCUUGAGUAUGGGAGAGGGAAGUGGAAUUCCUGGUGUAGAGGUGAAAUUCGUAGAUAUCAGGAGGAACACCGGUGGCGAAGGCGACUUCCUGGACCAAUACUGACGCUGAGGUGCGAAGGCGUGGGGAGCAAACAGGAUUAGAUACCCCCGUAGUC
rnacentral:rRNA from 1 species